CCUACGGGAGGCAGCAGUGGGGAAUAUUGGACAAUGGGGGCAACCCUGAUCCAGCAAUGCCGCGUGAGUGAUGAAGGCCUUAGGGUUGUAAAGCUCUUUUACCAGGGAUGAUAAUGACAGUACCUGGAGAAUAAGCUCCGGCUAACUCCGUGCCAGCAGCCGCGGUAAUACGGAGGGAGCUAGCGUUGUUCGGAAUUACUGGGCGUAAAGCGCACGUAGGCGGUUACUCAAGUCAGAGGUGAAAGCCCGGGGCUCAACCCCGGAACUGCCUUUGAAACUAGGUAACUAGAAUCCUGGAGAGGUGAGUGGAAUUCCGAGUGUAGAGGUGAAAUUCGUAGAUAUUCGGAAGAACACCAGUGCGAAGGCGGCUCACUGGACAGGUAUUGACGCUGAGGUGCGAAAGCUGGGGAGCAAACAGGAUUAGAUACCCUGGUAGUCCACGCCGUAAACGAUGAUAACUAGCUGUCCGGGCAACAUGGUNUUUGGGUCGCGCAGCUACGCAUAGUUAUCGCCGUGGAGGUACGGUCGCGAGAUAACUACAAGAAGUAGACGCGNGAGACGNGCGACGACGACGACGAGGAGUAG
rnacentral:rRNA from 1 species